rnacentral:rRNA from 1 species
GACGAACGCUGGCGGCGUGCUUAACACAUGCAAGUCGAACGAAGCUUGAUUACGGAUUCUUCGGAUGUAGUAUGAUAUGACUGAGUGGCGGACGGGUGAGUAACUCGUGAGUAACCUGGCCUUCAGAGGGGGAUAGCGAUCGGAAACGAACGGUAAUACCGCACAAUGUAUUUUGACCGCAUGAUCGAAAUACCAAAGAUUUAUCGCUGAAGGUUGGACUCGCUUCUGAUUAGGGAGAUGGUGGGGUAACGCCCUACCAAGCCGACGAUCAGUAGCCGGAGUAAGAGGUUGCGCGGCAGCCUUGGAACUGAGGCACGGGCCGGGCUUCUACGGGAGGGAGCAGAAGGGAGUAUUACAAAAGGGGCGCGAGCCAGGAGCAGCAACGCCGCGUGAAGGAAGACGGUUUUCGAAUAGUAAACUUCUGUUCUUAGUGGAGAAUAAUGACGGUACCUAAGGAGCAAGCCACGGCUAACUACGUG